UACGUAGGUGGCAAGCGUUGUCCGGAAUUACUGGGCGUAAAGCGCGUGUAGGUGGCUUCGCGAGUCCGAUGUGAAAGCCCAGGGCUCAACCCUGGAAGUGCAUUGGAUACUACGGAGCUGGAGGCCUGGAGAGGUGGGCGGAAUUCCCGGUGUAGAGGUGAAAUUCGUAGAUAUCGGGAGGAACACCAGUGGCGAAGGCGGCUCACUGGACAGGUCCUGACACUGAGACGCGAAAGCGUGGGUAGCAAACAGG
rnacentral:rRNA from 1 species